rnacentral:sRNA from 1 species
AAUAGCACGGGGGUUUUAUCUAAGUAAUGUGAAACGUAAAUCUAAAAAAGAAGACCGGUAGGCCUCCUGUGCGUUUUGGUUUUUAUCUAAGUAAUGUGAAACGUAAAUCUUGAUGGGUUUCCAUCCACUCAAACCGUAGAUAACGUUUUUAUCUAAGUAAUGUGAAACGUAAAUAAGUAAAUCGCGCUUAGCUACUGUCAUGGCUGUGUAAGUUUUUAUCUAAGUAAUGUGAAAUGUAAAUGACGUAGCGCUUUCUGGUGCUGUUUCUGUUGUCGCUGGUUUUUAUCU